CCUACGGGGGGCUGCAGUGGGGAAUAUUGGACAAUGGGCGAAAGCCUGAUCCAGCCAUGCCGCGUGUGUGAAGAAGGCCUUCGGGUUGUAAAGCACUUUCAGUGGGGAAGAAAGCCUUGGGGCUAAUACCCUCGAGGAAGGACAUCACCCACAGAAGAAGCACCGGCUGACUCCGUGCCAGCAGCCGCGGUAAUACGGAGGGUGCGAGCGUUAAUCGGAAUUACUGGGCGUAAAGCGCGCGUAGGCGGUCUGAUAAGCCGGUUGUGAAAGCCCCGGGCUCAACCUGGGAACGGCAUCCGGAACUGUCAGGCUAGAGUGCAGGAGAGGAAGGUAGAAUUCCCGGUGUAGCGGUGAAAUGCGUAGAGAUCGGGAGGAAUACCAGUGGCGAAGGCGGCCUUCUGGACUGACACUGACGCUGAGGUGCGAAAGCGUGGGUAGCAAACAGGAUUAGAUACCCCAGUAGUC
rnacentral:rRNA from 1 species